GUAAACAUGGAGAAUACGUAUAUGGAGGAAACCGUUGCGGAGUGUCCGUAUUGUACGAAUUUAGAACCAGUUUCAAGAAAUAGAUACAAGGAGUUAGUAAACGCAUAUGUUGGACGUGACCCGUUCCUCAUGAAGAUGAGUGAGUUUUCGGUCGAACUUGAAGAUUUGCCGACAGUGGAGGCUGUUGACAUCACCAACUAUCUGGUCCUUCAGACAUCGUACUACACCAGACAGCAAAUGAAGGCAUAUAAAAGUCUGGAGGCGUACAACUUUUUUUGUGGGUCCACAACCUCGGUACCAAACGGCUCCACGAUGAUCAUCGUUUGGUCUUCGCUAGGGUAAACCACUCUCAGAGAUCAGGCGAAACAUCUCUGAAGACGACCUGGAUUAUUGCGAAGGAGGAUGGAGAAGUCAUUGCAGCUCAUUGCAGCUCAUUGCAAUUGCAUGGCAGGACUAUCAGAAUCGUGUUCUCAUGUAGGGGCAGUUAUUUUUUCCAUUGAAGUUGGGGUAAAGAUGCGAGAUACAGCUUCCUGCACAACAGAGCAGUGCAAGUGGCUGAUGCCAUCACAUGUAAAAA